rnacentral:rRNA from 1 species
UACGAAGGGGGCUAGCGUUGUUCGGAUUUACUGGGCGUAAAGCGCACGUAGGCGGAUUGUUAAGUCAGGGGUGAAAUCCCGGAGCUCAACUCCGGAACUGCCUUUGAUACUGGCAAUCUUGAGGCUGGAAGAGGUUAGUGGAAUUCCCAGUGUAGAGGUGAAAUUCGUAGAUAUUGGGAAGAACACCAGGGGCGAAGGCGGCUAACUGGUCCAGAUCUGACGCUGAGGUGCGAAAGCGUGGGGAGCAAACAGG